AGCUUUGCGCAGUGGCAGUAUCGUAGCCAAUGAGGUUUAUCCAAGGCACGAUUAUUGCUAACUGAAAACUUUUCCCAAUACCCCGCCAUGACGACUUGAAAUAUAGUUGGCAUUGGCAAUUUUUGACAGUCUCUAUGGAGA
ensembl:snRNA U4 U4 spliceosomal RNA